rnacentral:rRNA from 1 species
GACAGAGGAGCCAAGCGUUGUCCGGAUUGACUGGGCGUAAAGCGCACGCAGGUGGUUGUGCAAGUGUCGUGUGAAAGCAGCUCGCUUAACGAGCCAUGGCAGACUGCGCGGCUCGAGCCCGUGAGAGGUCCGUGGAAUUGCCGGUGUAGUGGUGACAUGCGUAGAUAUCGGCAGGAACACCCAAGGGGAAGCCAGCGGACUGGCACGGUGCUGACACUGAGGUGCGAGAGCGUGGGGAGCGAACCGG